rnacentral:rRNA from 1 species
CGGGAAGUCUCGAUGUGC